rnacentral:rRNA from 1 species
CCCUUAGAUGUUCUGGGCUGCACGCGCGCUACACUGACUGCUCCAACAAGUUACCUGGGCUGACAAGCAUCCGGGAAAUCUUGCAAAGGCAGUCGUGAUGGGGAUAGAUUCUUGUAAUUUUUGAUCUUCAACGAGGAAUUCCUAGUAAACGCAAGUCAUCAGCUUGCAUUGAUUACGUCCCUGCCCUUUGUACACACCGCCCGUCGCAUCUACCGAUUGAAUGGAGAGGCAAAAUCUUCGGACCGUGACGCUUGGGAGUCAAAUCUCGGGCUGUCGUGGGAAGUGGAUUAAACCUUUCUAUUUAGAGGAAGGUAAAGUCGUAACA